GACGAACGCUGGCGGCGUGCUUUAGACAUGCAAGUCGAACGAGAUCUUCGGAUCUAGUGGCGAACGGCGGAGUAAUACAUAAACAACGUGCCUGAAGACUGGGAUAUACGGUCGAAAGGCCGAGCAAUACCGGAUGUGGCCGAGACUAGGCAUCUAGACUCGAUUAAAUGGUUUUCGCUUCAGGAGCGGUUUAUGACUCAUCAGCUAGUUGGUAGGGUAAUGGCCUACCAAGGCUACGACGGGUAGGGGGUCUGAGAGGAUGAUCCCCCGAGUGGGACUGAGACACGGCCCACACACCUACGGGUGGCAGCAGUUUGGAAUCUUGCCCAAUGGGGGAAACCCUGAGGCAGCGACGCCGCGUGGAGGAUGAAGGAUUUAGGCUGUAAACUCCUUUGCCAGGAAAGACUUAGGACGGUACCUGGCGAAUAAGCUCCGGCUAACUACGUGCCAGCAGCCGCGGUAAU
rnacentral:rRNA from 1 species